ACUUGUCCCAGAUUUAUAUUUUCUCUCUCAAAAUAUCGUUCUUUACUGCGAAUCCUCAAUCAUCUACUUGUUCUACUCAACACUCAACUCAUUGGGUGCUUCCUUCGAAAAUCACGUCUGACAACACAUCUUAGUGGUUGGUAGCUUUUAUAGUGCAAUUUGCAUUAUUUGGUAUGAUUAUGAGAGGACGAGUGCGUGUGGCUUAUCUACCCAGUUUUCCAUUCAUCCAUUUGGUUCAUUGGUUCUUCUUCUAGGUGGUGACGACUUUGUAGUGGUGGUGCAGUUGGUAUGGUGGAGACGGCCAUUUCCUUUUUCAUAUAUAAGGGAAAAAACCAGAAGUGGUAUCGAAGGCGGAGGAUAAAGAAGGUACCCCACUACUUAUCUAUAUGGAAGAGCCGAUUCUGUGGUGGAGGAGAUGAAUUUUUCACUCAAGCUUGAACUUGUCUAGAAUUUUAUGUUUUAUUUUGCUUUCUAGUUUGUUGUUUCUUCUCAAAAGCCUACAAUCAUUAUUAUUUAAGUUAAGUUAUUUCCUGCCACUUAGUAGUACGAUCUGCUGGUAUUUCUAUUUACUUGUAAGUAAAAGGUUUUAGGUUUGAUUCUUGCUAAAGGCGAAUUUGAAUCACAUUAUUGUUAGUUCAUUAUGAGAUUAAACUCACCUCCUCCUCUUUAA